rnacentral:rRNA from 1 species
UACGUAGGGGGCAAGCGUUGUCCGGAUUUAUUGGGUUUAAAGGGUGCGUAGGCGGCCAUUUAAGUCUGGGGUGAAAGCCCGUUGCUCAACAACGGAACUGCCCUGGAAACUGGAUGGCUUGAGUACAGACGAGGGUGGCGGAAUGGAUGCUGUAGCGGUGAAAUGCAUAGAUAGCAUCCAGAACCCCGAUUGCGAAGCAGCUGCCUAGACUGUAACUGACGCUGAGGCACGAAAGCGUGGGGAGCGAACAGG